GGCUCAAUGGAAUUCUGCUUUCUUGAAGUGUGUGCCUCACGAAAUGGCUGGAAAGAAGUUAACGGGUCUAAAAAUGAGGUUGAGGACGUGGGAGAGUGUACACAUUGGUGGUUUUAGGUGUGCAUCAUUGUGUAGGUAUGUCAGACUGAACAACCCCAUUCUCUUGAGAUACAUGACAAAAUGCCAUUCUGUAGUCCACUGUUACUGUCUUUCAGGGUUUUACAUAUGUGGCUCCAUCUGUACUUGAAAGUGUGAAAGAAAAGUUUUCCUUUGAACCAAAAAUCCGAUCACCUCGAAGAUUUAUUGGCAGCCCACGAACACCUGUCAGCCCAGUCAAAUUUUCUCCUGGGGAUUUCUGGGGAAGAGGUGCUUCGGCCAGCACAGCAAAUCCUCAGACACCUGUGGAAUACCCAAUGGAAACAAGUGGCAUAGAGCAGAUGGAUGUGACAAUGAGUGGGGAAGCAUCGGCACCACUUCCAAUACGACAGCCGAACUCUGGGCCAUACAAAAAACAAGCUUUUCCCAUGAUCUCCAAACGGCCAGAGCACCUGCGUAUGAAUCUAUGACAGAGCAAUGCUUUUAAUGAAUUUAAGGCAAAAAAGGUGGAGAGGGAGAUGUGUGAGCAUCCUGCAAGGUGAAACGACUCAAAAUGACAGUUUCAGAGAGUCAAUGUCAUUACAUAGAACACUUCAGACACAGGAAAAAUAAACGUGGAUUUU
rnacentral:lncRNA from 1 species